rnacentral:rRNA from 1 species
AUUCCAGCUCUAAUAGCGUAUAUUAAUGUUGUUGCAGUUAAAAAGCUCGUAGUUGGAUUUUGGUGUUUGACAAAUGGUCUGCCUUCGGGUUUGCACUGUUUGUUGGCACUUCUUUUCUGGGGAACUCACUGCUCUUAAUUGAGGGGUGCUGUAACGCAGAUCGUUUACUUUGAAAAAAUUAGAGUGUUCAAAGCAGGCCAACGCAUUGAAUACAUUAGCAUGGAAUAAUGGAAUAGGACUUUGGUCUUAUUUUGUUGGUUUCUAACACCGAAGUAAUGAUUAACAGGGACAGUCAGGGGCACUCGUAUUCCGCCGAGAGAGGUGAAAUUCUCAGACCAGCGGAAGACGAACCACUGCGAAAGCAUUUGCCAGGGAUGUUUUCAUCA